rnacentral:rRNA from 1 species
UACGAAGGGGGCUAGCGUUGCUCGGAAUCACUGGGCGUAAAGGGUGCGUAGGCGGGCCUUUAAGUCAGGGGUGAAAUCCUGGAGCUCAACUCCAGAACUGCCUUUGAUACUGAAGAUCUUGAGUUCGGAAGAGGUGAGUGGAACUGCGAGUGUAGAGGUGAAAUUCGUAGAUAUUCGCAAGAACACCAGUGGCGAAGGCGGCUCACUGGCCCGAUACUGACGCUGAGGCACGAAAGCGUGGGGAGCAAACAGG